GUAAGUUUGAACGUUUGAGAAAUGUUGGGUUGGACACAAUUAAACUGAUUUUAAACAACGUUAAACAAAAAACCUUCUGGCACUUUUUUUUUUUUUUUUUUUGAGACGGAGUCUUGCGCUGUCGCCCAGGCUGGAGUGCAGUGGCGCGAUCUCGGCUCACGGCAAACUCCGCCUCCCGGGUUCACGCCAUUCUCCUGCCUCAGCCUCCCGAGUAGCUGGGACUACAGGCGCCUGCAACCACGCCCAGCUAAUUUUUUGUAUUUUUUAGUAGAGAUGGGUUUCAUUGGGUUAGCCAGGAUGGUCUCGAUCUCCUGACCUCAUGAUCCGCCCACCUCGGCUUCCCAAAGUGCUGGGAUUACAGGCGUGAGCCAUCGCACCCGGCCCCGUUCUGGCAGUUUUCAAAGCCGUUUUGUUUUGUUUUGUUUUAUUUGUUUGAGAUAGAGUUUCGCUCUGUCGCCCAGGCUAGAGGCUGGAGUGUAGUGGCGCGAUCUCGGCUCACUGCAAGCUCCGCCUCCCGGGUUCACGCCAUUCUCCUGCGUCAGCCUCCCGAUUAGCUGGGACUACAAGCGCCCGCCACCACGCCCGGUUAAUUUUUCCUAUUUUUUAGUAGAAACGCGGUUUCACCCUGUCAGCCUGGAUGGCCUCGAUAUCCUGACCUCAUGAUCCACCCGCCUCAGCCUCCCAAAGUGCUGGGAUUACAGGCGUGAGCCACCCUGCCCAGCCUUUUCAAAGCCUUUAAUAAGAAAAUGUUUCCUUGACAGAAAGCCUGGAAUCUACCUUUCUUAGACUCACUUACUAGCAGUUACUGGUUUAGGUUUUGCCAGUGAGAAACUCGUGUGUGAGACUUGGAAGGUGAACAAGAAGAAGAAGCCAUUGAUCUUCAGUGGGAGCUGCAGGCAGCUAUAUGGGCAUUGGAGAUGGCAGUGAACACAUGUUAAGUACUGUCAGUAGAGGAUGCAGGAGAGACAUUGAGAGAGGAUGAAGGAUUCUUCUAAUUCUGUACACCUGCCAAAGUCUCACCUCAGCUGCCUGCCUAGAAAGGCUGCUUCCCAUGACCCUCUCUACCUGAAGACCACAUGUUCUAAUUCUCAUGCAAAAGCCCCAUCCUCACUCCCUCUUUAUACAUUCACUUAUGAACUGUGGCUCUCUGCCACCUCAUUUCCUGCUUGCCCAGCGACCAUGGACCAGCUCUGAUCUGAGUGUCCUAGGAAACUUCUCUGGAGGUUGCAACUACACCUUCUCCAACAAGACCUGAACCCCACCUUGGAAUCCCCACUUCAACCUUGUCCUUCAUUGCAUCAUUUCCCUGAGCCCUAGGCUAACCAGCAGAGUUCUCUUUACAUCCUUAUAUUUACUUCCCUGCCAUAUUUAAUAAUUCUUUACAUUAAAAAGUUCCUGUUCAAAUUACUAUGAUUUCUUUUUCCUGAUUGAAUUUAGAUGGAUAUAUC
rnacentral:lncRNA from 1 species